rnacentral:rRNA from 1 species
AGAACGAACGCUGGCGGCAGGCUUAACACAUGCAAGUCGAGCGCCGUAGCAAUACGGAGCGGCAGACGGGUGAGUAACGCGUGGGAACAUACCCUUCGGUUCGGAAUAAUUCAGGGAAACUUGGACUAAUACCGAAUACGGACGAGAGUCGAAAGAUUUAUCGCCGAAGGAUUGGCCCGCGUUCGAUUAGCUAGUUGGUGUGGUAACGGCGCACCAAGGCGACGAUCGAUAGCUGGUCUGAGAGGAUGAUCAGCCACAUUGGGACUGAGACACGGCCCAAACUCCUACGGGAGGCAGCAGUGGGGAAUAUUGGACAAUGGGCGCAAGCCUGAUCCAGCCAUGCCGCGUGAGUGAUGACGGCCUUAGGGUUGUAAGCUCUUUCGCUAGGGACGAUAAUGACGGUACCUAGACAAGACGCCCGGCUAACUCGCGCCAGCAGCCGC